UUACAAUGGAGAGUUUGAUCCUGGCUCAGGAUGAACGCUAGCGGCAGGCCUAAUACAUGCAAGUCGAACGGGAUUGUUGACUUCGGUUGACAUGAGAGUGGCGCACGGGUGCGUAACGCGUAUGCAACCUACCUUAUACAGGGGGAUAGCCCGGGGAAACCCGGAUUAAUACCCCAUGGUAUAUAUUGAUCGCAUGGUUAGUAUAUUAAAGAUUUAUCGGUAUAAGACGGGCAUGCGUAGGAUUAGCUAGUUGGUAAGGUAACGGCUUACCAAGGCGAUGAUCCUUAGGGGUUCUGAGAGG
rnacentral:rRNA from 2 species